UGCGCUCGGCCGUGCGGUGUCGCUUUCUGUGCCCGUGACUGAGGCACGCUCAGCUACGGGUGUUGUCUUCAAGCAGAAGCAUGCUCGAAAGCGAUCCUUGCCGGGUCGGUCAGUGGUGCUGGGGCUGAGCCUCCAGCUCAGAAAGCUCCUGAGCCAGUUUCCGUGCUCUUGGCUGCCGGGAGCAGGGAUGGGAGGGUAGGAAAUGGCUUCCCGCCUCCUCCCUCUCCUACCUGGGCGCUGCUGGCGGCCGAGUGCGGACAGCGGCUGUGACAGCUCCGGCUGUGGUGCCGCGCUGGAACAUUGCUCUUACUGCGGCUGCCUCCGGAGAGGAAGAGCGUUUUCAAUUAGCUAAGAUGGGUCAGCGGUCCAAAGAAGUGAAAGCAGAGAAAUGAAGGUUCUCGUGAAACUCCUCAGCUUCAUUUCCACAAUCCACAAUCUUUUAUAUCUUGAUUUGUGUUUUGCUGUUAGCUGGAUGACGCGUGAGGGCUUGUAUUUGAAGAGCCGGUCGAUUUUUGACUGAAAUUUUGCUUGUGUGUUUGGGAAUGUGUUUGCUUGAAUUUUGGAGCCUACUAUUUAUAAGUAGCAGCAGGACGGUCAUCUGUCUGAUGAGAUACUUCUGCUGGGAGUAAUUUAGUACAGUUGUAUUAAAACUGACCCCCUUUAAGAUUUUCUGAGUGAGUGCAUCACUACCCAGGCUCAGCAGAUGCACUCAGUCAUCAAAAUAAGCAUGAGCUGUAUAGAGACUUAUUUGCUGUUACCACUUACCUCUUCUCUUCCUGUCCUAAGGCUUGCAGUGUUUAUCAGCGACCUUAAUUCAACUAUAAGAAUUCCUGGGACAAGAAUUUCAUCUUGGAAGAUGUGCAGCAGACUGCAGAUCUGCUCCUGGUAGGACCAAUGGAUGCUCAACCUAUUCUGAUUAGCUACCCUAAGCAGCAGGCUCAGUGACACCCAAAGAAUCAGAACACUUUGAGAAAACAACAAAACUGAGGUGUCCAGGCAAAGCAGCCUGUUCAUGAAAAAUUUUGGACUGAGCCAAGUAAUCAAACCUUCCUUGGCUGUGUCGUCAUGGAAUUUGAGGAUGGUUCAGCUGAUAGCAGAGUCCUUGGCUGGGAGCAGAGAAAACACAUCCAAACAGACAAUUGCUUUCAGAGAUUUUACAUCUAUAAUUACAAGAUGAGUGUAGGCAAUGCUGUCUGGACCAAAAAGGAAUCAGUGGCAUCUGAAAGUUGUCCAUCUUUCAGUUGAAGUGAUAAAGUUCCUGGUUUUGAACCUGAAGAGAUUAGGAGAUAUGAAUAAGCAGGAUGCUGAAUGUGGGAAAAAAAGAGAAUGCUAAAAUACAGUGUGGCUGAAUGGAAAAGCUCUGAGAGUGAUUAGCUCAAUGGAGAAAGGCUGUCCUUUGUUGACAUCUGAGAACUUCUUUGAUAUCUUAUUACGACAAGGAAAUUACUUGUUUGGUUGGGGUUGUGGGUAUUUUGGGGAGGGGUAUUUGUUUGUUUGGUUUUGGACAGUUUUGUUUGUUUUCAUUUGGGAAUAAAUAAGACAUCACAACCAUGAAAUCUGAAAUCA